AGUGAACGCUGGCGGUAGGCCUAACACAUGCAAGUCGAACGGCAGCACAGUAAGAGCUUGCUCUUACGGGUGGCGAGUGGCGGACGGGUGAGGAAUACAUCGGAAUCUACUUUUUCGUGGGGGAUAACGUAGGGAAACUUACGCUAAUACCGCAUACGACCUACGGGUGAAAGCAGGGGAUCUUCGGACCUUGCGCGAUUGAAUGAGCCGAUGUCGGAUUAGCUAGUUGGCGGGGUAAAGGCCCACCAAGGCGACGAUCCGUAGCUGGUCUGAGAGGAUGAUCAGCCACACUGGAACUGAGACACGGUCCAGACUCCUACGGGAGGCAGCAGUGGGGAAUAUUGGACAAUGGGCGCAAGCCUGAUCCAGCCAUACCGCGUGGGUGAAGAAGGCCUUCGGGUUGUAAAGCCCUUUUGUUUGGAAAGAAAAGCAGCAGGUUAAUACCCCGCUGUUCUGACGGUACCCAAAGAAUAAGCACCGGCUAACUUCGU
rnacentral:rRNA from 1 species